rnacentral:rRNA from 1 species
UACGUAGGUGGCGAGCGUUGUCCGGAUUUACUGGGCGUAAAGAGCGCGCAGGCGGUCGUUCAAGUCGCGUGUGAAAGCCCCCGGCUCAACUGGGGAGGGUCACGCGAUACUGAUCGACUCGAAGGCAGGAGAGGGAAGUGGAAUUCCCGGUGUAGUGGUGAAAUGCGUAGAUAUCGGGAGGAACACCAGUGGCGAAGGCGGAUCUCUGGGCCAUUACUGACGCUGAGGAGCGAAAGCGUGGGGAGCGAACAGG